rnacentral:rRNA from 1 species
UACGUAGGUGACAAGCGUUGUCCGGAUUUACUGGGCGUAAAGAGCGCGCAGGCGGUCGAUCUAGUCGAGGGUGAAAGCCCCCGGCUCAACUGGGGAGGGUCAUUCGAUACUGAUCGACUCGAAGGCAGGAGAGGGUAGUGGAAUUCCCGGUGUAGUGGUGAAAUGCGUAGAUAUCGGGAGGAACACUAGUGGCGAAGGCGACUACCUGGCCUGUUCUUGACGCUGAGGCGCGAAAGCUAGGGGAGCAAACGGG